UAGGAAUUUUCCCGGCGAAGAAUUUGUCCCGUCUUUUGGUUUCUAUGUGUGAUUUCAUCCACGACAACCAAAACAAGUUGUCCAUUUCAAAGACGUCUUUCAUCGUUGCCCGGGGAAGUGAAAUCUGAAGCUCGAACAACAUUACGAAAAGGCCCUUGAGGGAUUGUACGAUUUGUGAAGUGAUGGAAACAGUGGAUUGGACUGCUUGUUGAGUGAUAUACGUGUGAAAAAUGGCGCGAAUGAGUUGUGGGUCUGUCAUUUCUCCCUCCAUUUUUUGAGGUCGCAACUGAUGAGAAGAACCUUGUAGCUUGCAUGUGACUUUCGAAAUCGGAGUGGGGGAAGGUGUUGAAGGAAGAAGUUUUUUUGCUUUCUCCACAAUCGACUGGCAAGUGAGAUAAAUAAAGACAGAGAUGUCAAUACUCGUGGGAUGGGCAUUGUUUGCGAUCCAUCUCCAUCAAGCUUUGUUGGUUACUAGGAUGUAAGAUGGAAACAAACAAAGCACAUGUCUUCUUCAAGGAGUGAUCAACCUUCCAACUAUCCAAACCAUUGCAUAGUACUGUAUAAUAUGUGAAUCUGUAUAUCAAUCUGUCAUGUAAAAAAUGGGACAUGUGUAAUAUAUUUGGUCCAAGAUAUGCGUACUUGUACUUAGGAUUUUAAGUUUGUCAAUUCUGUAUGUACCAAGGCUAUAGAUGCCAAUGGGUUAUCUAUAAGUUGGUGUAUCUGAACCUGUACUGUAACAUAUAUA